rnacentral:tRNA from 1 species
UCAAGUUAAAUCUUAAAGUUAAGGAUUUCAUUUACACUGAAAAAUUUUCUGUGCAAUUCAGUAUAACUUG